GUCGAACGGCAGCACGGAGCUUGCUCUGGUGGCGAGUGGCGAACGGGUGAGUAAUAUAUCGGAACGUACCCUGGAGUGGGGGAUAACGUAGCGAAAGUUACGCUAAUACCGCAUACGAUCUACGGAUGAAAGUGGGGGAUCGCAAGACCUCAUGCUCGUGGAGCGGCCGAUAUCUGAUUAGCUAGUUGGUAGGGUAAAAGCCUACCAAGGCAUCGAUCAGUAGCUGGUCUGAGAGGACGACCAGCCACACUGGAACUGAGACACGGUCCAGACUCCUACGGGAGGCAGCAGUGGGGAAUUUUGGACAAUGGGCGAAAGCCUGAUCCAGCAAUGCCGCGUGAGUG
rnacentral:rRNA from 1 species